GGCUCCUUGAUUGAAAAAAAUAAGGAGUCGGACCUGCCCAGUGAAUUUCUUUUAACGGCCGCGGUACUCUGACCGUGCAAAGGUAGCGUAAUCAUUUGCCUUAUAAUUGAAGGCUAGUAUGAAUGGUUUGACAUGAGCAAUUCUGUCUCUUUUUUAUUUUUUAAAAAUUAACUUUUAGGUGAAGAGGCCUAAAUAAAAUUAAAGGACAAGAAGACCCUGUCGAGCUUAAAAGACAAAAUAGGAAUUAAUAUCUAAGAAAUACACUUCUAUUAAGCUUUUUAGUUGGGGCGACUAAGGAACAAACAAAGCUUCUUUCAAAAAAUCACGCUAAUCAGCAAAGAUCCAGCAUCACUGAUCAAGAAAAUUAGUUACCGCAGGGAUAACAGCAUAAUCUCUCUUGAGAGACCAAAUCGAAAGGGGGGGUUGUGACCUCGAUGUUGGACUAGAAUAUCCGAAAGAUGCAGACGUCUUUGAAGGUUGGUCUGUUCGACCAUUAAAAUUCU
rnacentral:rRNA from 1 species